rnacentral:rRNA from 1 species
UAGGGAAUCUUCGGCAAUGGACGAAAGUCUGACCGAGCAACGCCGCGUGAGUGAAGAAGGUUUUCGGAUCGUAAAACUCUGUUGUUAGAGAAGAACAAGGACGUUAGUAACUGAACGUCCCCUGACGGUAUCUAACCAGAAAGCCACGGCUAACUACGUGCCAGCAGCCGCGGUAAUACGUAGGUGGCAAGCGUUGUCCGGAUUUAUUGGGCGUAAAGCGAGCGCAGGCGGUUUCUUAAGUCUGAUGUGAAAGCCCCCGGCUCAACCGGGGAGGGUCAGUGGAAACUGGGAGACUUGAGUGCAGAAGAGGAGAGUGGAAUUCCAUGUGUAGCGGUGAAAGGCGUAGAUAUAUGGAGGAACACCAGUGGCGAAGGCGGCUCUCUGGUCUGUAACUGACGCUGAGGCUCGAAAGCGUGGGGAGCAAACAGG